GAUGAACGCUGGCGGCGUGCCUAAUACAUGCAAGUCGAGCGAACAGAUGAGGAGCUUGCUCCUCUGACGUUAGCGGCGGACGGGUGAGUAACACGUGGAUAACCUACCUAUAAGACUGGGAUAACUUCGGGAAACCGGAGCUAAUACCGGAUAAUAUAUUGAACCGCAUGGUUCAAUAGUGAAAGACGGUUUUGCUGUCACUUAUAGAUGGAUCCGCGCCGCAUUAGCUAGUUGGUAAGGUAACGGCUUACCAAGGCGACGAUGCGUAGCCGACCUGAGAGGGUGAUCGGCCACACUGGAACUGAGACACGGUCCAGACUCCUACGGGAGGCAGCAGUAGGGAAUCUUCCGCAAUGGGCGAAAGCCUGACGGAGCAACGCCGCGUGAGUGAUGAAGGUCUUCGGAUCGUAAAACUCUGUUAUUAGGGAAGAACUAAUGUGUAAGUAACUAUGCACGUCUUGACGGUACCUAAUCAGAAAGCCACGGCUAACUACGUG
rnacentral:rRNA from 1 species